rnacentral:rRNA from 1 species
UACGUAGGGUGCGAGCGUUAAUCGGAAUUACUGGGCGUAAAGCGUGCGCAGGCGGUUCGUUGUGUCGGCGGUGAAAGCCCCGGGCUCAACCUGGGAAUGGCCGUUGAAACUGGCGAACUGGAGUGUGGCAGAGGGGGGUGGAAUUCCGCGUGUAGCAGUGAAAUGCGUAGAGAUGUGGAGGAACACCGAUGGCGAAGGCAGCCCCCUGGGCCAAUACUGACGCUCAUGCACGAAAGCGUGGGGAGCAAACAGG